AUGGUCCGGGCCUUCACGAUGGUGGGUCCCGAUUCCAGGCUCAGCAGAUGCUCGCAGUGCAGAGUCGUUUCUCCGGGCUCGUCGGCGCAGUCGGUGUGCACCGUGGUGUGCGACUGCAGGACGCUGUUCCGGCCACACUCCCUUUUGUAG
rnacentral:rRNA from 1 species